rnacentral:rRNA from 1 species
AUUGAACGCUGGCGGCAUGCCUUACACAUGCAAGUCGAACGGCAGCAUGGAAGAGCUUGCUCUUCUGAUGGCGAGUGGCGAACGGGUGAGUAAAGCAUCGGAACGUACCGUGUAGUGGGGGAUAACGUAGCGAAAGUUACGCUAAUACCGCAUACGCACUGAGGUGGAAAGCAGGGGAUCGCAAGACCUUGCGCUAUACGAGCGGCCGAUGUCAGAUUAGCUAGUUGGUAGGGUAAAGGCCUACCAAGGCGACGAUCUGUAGCGGGUCUGAGAGGAUGAUCCGCCACACUGGGACUGAGACACGGUCCAGACUCCUACGGGAGGCAGCAGUGGGGAAUUUUGGACAAUGGGCGCAAGCCUGAUCCAGCAAUGCCGCGUGAGUGAAGAAGGCCUUCGGGUUGUAAAGCUCUUUUGUCAGGGAAGAAACGGUAUCUCCUAAUACGGGGUGCUAAUGACGGUACCUGAAGAAUAAGCACCGGCUAACUACGUG